UUGAUUAAUUUAUCGAUUUAAAUCAUUUUCUCAGAAAAUGUAGAGAUACCAACUUCUUUAGAAAAUAGAUUUUUCGCAUGAUUUAACAGUUCGUAACAAAAUAAAAAUUACUUUU
rnacentral:sRNA from 1 species